GUCAGGAUGGCCGAGCGGUCUAAGGCGCCAGACUCAAGGAUAUAAACCUUACUUCUACAAGAGAAGCAUCAGAAUUCUGGUCUUCAAUGAAGGCGUGGGUUCAAAUCCCACUCCUUACA
rnacentral:tRNA from 1 species